CGUUAGCUCAGCUGGUAGAGCAACUGACUCUUAAUCAGUAGGUCGCAGGUUCGACCCCUGCAC
rnacentral:tRNA from 1 species